GUUCACCUUUAUUUAUUGUGAUUUAAAUGUGUUGGUAGUAGUUAAGUGUUGAGUUAGAUUACAUACUGUAGCUACCUCAAUCAUUAUUUCAAAUCAUUUCGGUGACUUCACAGCAAUUACUAGCUAGACAAAAUGUUGUUAGCUAGCAGGCUCAGCUAAAUACAUAUAUAUCCCCUACACACAUACAUGUCUCAUAGCUGUAUUGUAACAAUACGAAUUUAAUGGAGUUUCCCAUCUUCCCGUUUAGAGUUUCUUGUGCAGCACAGAAAUGCCCUUAUCUAGAUGGUGUGACAAACAACCUUUCCUAACAGACCUGCUAACUUUGUUGUUCAUUUAGGUUGGAACCAACACCCAGUAACACCCAAGAACCGUUUUCCUGCCAGCUCAGGGACAAGCUGGACUAUUCACAGCCCUGUGUAAUGGUCAAUGUAACUGCACUGCUGGACUGUUUGAAAUGUCAUGUAUUUGUAUUGUUUUAAAAAUGUACAAAUAAAAUAAAUGUACUGUAUGGUUUAAACAUUUCUUUAAUGUUUUCUUGUUUUAUCAUUUAAUGCCAAUUCCCUAAGUGUUAAUACAGUUGUGUUAACAUCAUUAAGCCAUUAUGCAUGUGUUAGGAAUGACCAAAGGUGUCUGACCUUAUAUUAAGUACAGCAUCAUAUGAUAUAAGGCAUUUAUGCAUGUGUUAGGAAUGACCAAAGGUGUCUGACCUUAUAUUAAGUACAGCAUCAUAUGAUAUAAG
ensembl:lncRNA